CUAUCGACAUUGAUGGAGGAAAGUAGAUCAAACCCAACCUUCCAGGGAGAAGAAGUCGCGACUGAGAGCUUCUUUAUGGUAUGGCUGAUUGAAGUUCCCUCCGGAGUUGCUGCAGUGAAAGAUUUUAGUAGCUUCAGCCGGGAGCCCGCCGUUAAAAGGGAGGAGGUAUCGGAUGUUUGUCCCGUACCGGUAAAGCAACUACACACUAGGGUGGUAUAGCGAAAUGAUGCAUUUCGUCCCUGGAGGAUGAAAUGCUUUUUUAUUACCGGCAGGAAGAAGUCCCGUACCUUUUGAGCUGGGCUAUUAAGCCAAUUUGGGUGGUACCGCGGAGAUAACUCUUCGUCCCUUGU
rnacentral:ncRNA from 1 species